rnacentral:lncRNA from 1 species
CGGUGGAUGGAGUAAAGUAGGGAUAUUACAUUACACAAAUACAAGGGAAUGGUACGUAUAAAUAGAUAGAUACGAACGUACAUUUAUCGAAAGUUGUACAAUAUCAUCUAGUUGACCGUGGUAAUUAAUUAUAAUUAGACAUAAUAGAUUUGUUGAUUUUAAACUACAAAUUCUGAAAAGUCUUCAAAACAAAUAUGGUCAAGAAUCCAAAACUGUAGUCGUAUUAACUUUUUCGCUAGCAAGUACUAUAUAUAUUUAUGACUGACUCUCAGUAAACAAACGUGCAAGACUUUAAAUAUAAAAAGUUGACAAAAAAAAUAAAAUAUAUAUAUAUAUAUAUAUAUCUAUAUAUAUAAACAUGGCCCCUCCCAAAUAGAGCAAAUCCACAGGUUUGCCAAAUAAAGCAAAAGCAGUUUCCAACAAAAGAUAAUGCUAUUUUUCUUACAGCUAUGAAACCUACCUCGUACGGACGUAUAAACUGCAUGUCUCCAGACUUUCGAAGUGGUUAUUGCAAUAGCCUUAGCCGAAACAUCAAGGUAACUAGUCUAUACGAUUUCAACUCUCAUGGCUCGACAGAACUGACUAUUCUAAUUCUGCAAAGCUUUUACUGAUGAGGGACCAUGUACCAGAGGUACACACGUGAAUACGUGACGCAAACAGGUAACACGCUCUCGUAUCCUUAUUUAUCUUUAAUCGUUUGAUUGACACAUGAUACUGUACGUGAUUAAUUAGUAAUUCAUUCAAUUUAUAUAUAUAUAUAUCUUGCCUCAUGACUUUUCAGCUCGUUGUUGCCAUUAUUUGCAAGUUCAAAUCUGAAUUCAGAAAUUCAAAUUUAAUUACAGACUUACUCUGACUAAUAUAUUUUCAUAUUCUGGACGAAAAAUCUAUAAUCAUAUAUUGCUUGAGAGUUCGAAUUAAGCAAUUAUUUUCCGAUACAUCUCACUUGGAUACUCGGUUAAAGCCUGUCAAUUUGAGCCGUAUUUGUUUUCAUCACUAGCUAGUGCAAUGCAAUAUGAGCGACUCAAACAUAUAAGACUCCAAAAACGCAAUUACCAAAAACUAUUUUGAAUAAACGAAAUAUUGAUCCAGUGGUCACUUGUUAGUUGUUACAGGACAAAACCUUUUUUUUGUCACUAUUACAAGACAAAACCCUAGAACAACCAUUGACGCUUGUUUCAACAAAAUAACAACCGCUUUGUUGUUUUAAAUGAGCUGCGCCACAAUAGCGGCAGUAACACGAAUUAUUUGAAUACAUCAUUCAUGGUAAAGUGUCAAAUCCAGAUUCGGCUAAUAAGAAAUGUGUGUCACAAGAUUAGCUGUCAUCAAUAAUUGACAAUAUGACCUUAUUUUGUCCUUUUGUAAUAAUAGCUAGAUAGGUUUAGAGUUACCUUUAAAAACUUGUAUAUUGUGUAACGUUUUCAACUAUAAUGCUUUGUCAAUCCAAUUCGUAUUCAAGUACUGUAUAUCCGCAUCAAAAUUUAAGCACAGGUUCAUACGCUAAUGAGUGUACAUAUAUAUGUAUAUGUCUAUAUCAUAACUGUAAUGUAACUAUGAUGUAGAUGUCGAUAAUUUUAUGAAUGAUAGUGUUAGGGUUCAAUUUGUACUGAUAUGUAUCGCUUAUACUUAUGAAUUUUCUUCAUCUUCAAUCUUCAUGAAUCGUUGGUCUUAUUUACCUUUGUUAUAUGGUAUUUACAUAUGUACUCACCGUCAACUUUCUGUGCAUUUAUUCCGUGUCAUAGUAUACGUUUUAUUAACGACAAAACUUGUUACAUUAUGUAAUUUAAUUACUAUCACUGACAGGAUAAAAUAUUUAUUCGUCAUCUGAUAUCAGUUAGUUAAGUAAUGUUCGAGAAUCGAUUUUAUAAAACGUUGAUGUUUUAUCUUGAAUGAUUGUGAUUUACAGAAGAGGUUAAGAUACUCAUAAUCUAUAUAUAUAAGACCAAUUAUUAAAAAGACAAAACACUAGUUCAAGAAACAAUAGCGGUGGAUGGAGUAAAGUAGGGAUAUUACAUUACACAAAUACAAGGGAAUGGUACGUAUAAAUAGAUAGAUACGAACGUACAUUUAUCGAAAGUUGUACAAUAUCAUCUAGUUGACCGUGGUAAUUAAUUAUAAUUAGACAUAAGAGACUGACCAUGCUGAUGCUGUUGUGGCUGCGGCUGUAGAGGCGGCUGAGAACUCGAUUGAGUUAUUUGCUUGUUAUUGACC